GACGAACGCUGGCGGCGUGCUUAACACAUGCAAGUCGAACGCUGAAGCUCAGCUUGCUGGGUGGAUGAGUGGCGAACGGGUGAGUAACACGUGAGUAACCUGCCCCCUUCUUUGGGAUAACGCCCGGAAACGGGUGCUAAUACUGGAUAUUCACUGAUCUUCGCAUGGGGGUUGGUGGAAAGGUUUGUUCUGGUGGGGGAUGGGCUCGCGGCCUAUCAGCUUGUUGGUGGGGUGAUGGCCUACCAAGGCUUUGACGGGUAGCCGGCCUGAGAGGGUGACCGGUCACAUUGGGACUGAGAUACGGCCCAGACUCCUACGGGAGGCAGCAGUGGGGAAUAUUGCACAAUGGGCGCAAGCCUGAUGCAGCGACGCCGCGUGAGGGAUGGAGGCCUUCGGGUUGUAAACCUCUUUCGCUCAUGGUCAAGCCGCAACAGUGGUUGUGGUGAGGGUAGUGGGUAAAGAAGCGCCGGCUAACUACGUGCCAGCAGCCGCGGUAAUACGUAGGGCGCGAGCGUUGUCCGGAAUUAUUGGGCGUAAAGGGCUUGUAGGCGGUUGGUCGCGUCUGCCGUGAAAUCCUCUGGCUUAACUGGGGGGCUUGCGGUGUGUUCGGUCUGAUUUGAGUGGGUGGGGGGAGACUGGAAUUCUUUGUGUACGGUGAAAUGCUCAGAUAUCAGGAAAACACCAGUAGCGAAAUUGGUUUUCUGGGCCGUACUUGCCCAAAGAGCGAAACCUGGGGAGCGAAAGAGAUAGAUACCUUAGGUCCCCGGGCGGAUUCGCAGGGGGGGAGGCCGCCCACUCAGCGGCGUUGUAGAAUGGGGGGUCGCCCCCCCCCCUUCCCCCCUAAAAUAAUCCCGUUUACCCUGUUCCACUAAGUUUGUGGCAUGUUUUUUGAAAAAGG
rnacentral:rRNA from 1 species